rnacentral:rRNA from 1 species
GAUGAACGCUAGCGGCAGGCCUAACACAUGCAAGUCGAGGGGUAACUAGAGUGAUAGCAAUAUUACUUUGGCUAGACCGGCGCACGGGUGCGUAACACGUAUGCAACCUACCUUAUACUGGGGAAUAACUUCGAGAAAUCGGCGCUAAUACCCCAUAACAUUGCGAAGAGGCAUCUCUUUGCAAUUAAAGCUCCGGCGGUAUAAGAUGGGCAUGCGUUCAAUUAGCUAGUUGGUGAGGUAACGGCUCACCAAGGCUACGAUUGGUAGGGGGUCUGAGAGGAUGAUCCCCCACACUGGUACCGAGACACGGACCAGACUCCUACGGGAGGCAGCAGUGAGGAAUAUUGCGCAAUGGACGAAAGUCUGACGCAGCCAUGCCGCGUGCAGGAUGACGGCCCUAUGGGUUGUAAACUGCUUUUGUACGGGAAUAAACCCUUCUACGUGUAGGAGGCUGAAGGUACCGUAAGAAUAAGCACCGGCUAACUCCGUGCCAGCCGCCGCCGUAACAC